UGGUGAGAAUGGGGCCCUCUUGAAAUGGGAUGAGAACAGGACAUUGUCAUCAGAAGUUCAUUGCCAUUUCCAGCCUCAGCUAGUUGAGAGGCAAUAAUUUCAAAAUACAUUUCAGAGAUAGAAAUCUCUGGGAAGUCCAAUUCUUUUUGCCCUCUUGGCUUUUUCGUGGGUUCCCGUUUGGUGGUGGUCCACUUUACCUGGACGUGAAGGUGACACCCCUUGACAGUACCUUCCUCUUGCUCUGAAAAACCCAAACUCCUGAAAUAAAAAGAGGGGAUUGUAUAUAUGACCUGGUUAAUUCUGCUGCUUAUUGCUUAACUCGGGCAUCUUCUGUUUCAUUUGCCCGUGUUUGGUUUCUGAGCUGGGGACUGUCUCUCCUGCCACCAACUAGCAGGCACGGUUCCCAGACUACUUGAUAAUAGCAAGUUAGAUUUCAAGCUUGGGUGUUUGAAUGAAGUUUCCUAUAAUGCUCUGUAUUUCCUAUCAAAUUUCCUCUACCUUUUCAUCUGAAAUGUCAGUGGAUGUGACAUUUUAAUGGAAAUACUGAAAUUACAAAAGCAUAACUUAGCAACAAGAAUCAAAUAGACAGUUGAAAUUGGGACGUUUCCCUGGCAUGCCUUGCUGCUGCAAAUUGGACUUUGAGUCAAAACCCUGUUAGUGACACGCAUCUCCUCCAGUUAUGUAAAUUGAUCCUUCGCUUGGCAAACCUUCAAGCAGGCUUGCUUUGAACAGGAAAGGAGAUAGCAGCCCUUUGGGGGUGUCAUUUUUACCAGGCAGCACACCGUGGAAGGGGCUGGAAGAUGGUCCUCUCCUGAAAAAUGCAAAUUAGCAUCAGGUUUUUGUCAAAACCUUGUCAACUCCCUGAUGGAAAAAGGAUGUUUUUACAUGAACAAUGUAUUUUUUUAAAUAGGCUGAUGCUUUAUAUUCUUGAUGAGUUACUCAGAAGCCUGAAAUGAAACCCUGUCUUCAGAACCUGAAACUGUUUAUCAAAAAUAGCAAUGAGAUGGGGAUUGAUUAUAUUUUUUCCUCUGGAAUUUAGAAGAACUGCAACCAACUGGUGUGUGAUCACCAUGGUGAACGAUUUUGUGUUUCUUAUGAACCAAAACACAGGGACCUGGUGUUAAAGAAAUAGAUUCCUGGUAUGUGACAACAGGGAUGGUCUCCCUGGACACAGCCCACUCCCAGACUUUGGUAGGGAUUUUUCUUACCUGCUUCUGUGAAAGGCAUACUUUUUGAGAUAAAUUUGGGGUCAGUUACAGUUCAAAACCAUGAAAGUAACUCCCAGCAAUGAGGCAUUAACAACUUGACAGAGCUUUGGGCUGUAGAUUCUGCAAAGCAGUUUUGCUUUGGGGAUUCCAUUAUCUCCUUCAAGAGGAGCAGAAGGACUAUUUCGUCAUUUAAUAGGGUCUCCUC
rnacentral:lncRNA from 1 species